AUCUGUUCGACAAUUGGAACCAGAUUGGCAUUUUGAUUCAAAUGCUGAAAUUGUGCACCAGUUGACUAGAUUCAUCAAAUAUUUACUUUAUGUGACACCAGACCUACCUCAACAAACGGCUUCUAAUGUGUUCAUUUCAACAAGUUUGGAACAGUUCGUUGGUGAUCAAGGUCGAAAAUAAGUUGCAUGUUGCCUACCUAAUCAGCUGAGGAUCAUUUUUGUCUAAAUCAAUUGUUGAUGAAAUUGUGUGAGAUGACUGGACUAGUAAAUGCCGUUCACAAUCGUCCCUGUCGAAUCCGCGAUGUCUUCUGCG